UUCCAGGGUCAUCUAGAACACUGUUAGACCCAGAUCUGGGGUUCUUUCCUCAAGAACCCUUGGCUCCUCUGAGUGCUUGGGAGGGGGCAAGGGGUCAUUACCCUUGGACUGAUUAUUACUUCUAGACCUUUUCACUUUAGAUAUAUUUGAGGAUGCGGAAAUGCAUACCUGGCAAUCCUCUCCAGCACCACCUGACUGAUUCAAACUCGAAUGAAUCGGUUGUUUAGAACUGCUUCAGUGCUGGAAAUGGCUUUCCUGGCCUCCUCAUUGGUAAGAUACUGGAUGAGGGCUGCCUCUGGAUCUCCCUUAAAAGCAACCUGUAAGAAAAAACAAAAGCAUCAACAAUUGGGACACCUGGGUGGCUCAGCGGUUGAGUGUCGGCCUUUGGCUCAGGGCGUGAUCCCAGGAUCUGGGAUUGAGUCCUCCAUCAGGCUUCUUGCAGGAA